UGAGGAAUAUUGCGCAAUGGGGGCAACCCUGACGCAGCAACGCCGCGUGAGUGAAGAAGGCCUUCGGGUUGUAAAGCUCUGUCAGGCGGGAAGAAACCUAUCCAAGCGAAUAACUUGGAAAGCUGACGGUACCGCCAAAGGAAGCACCGGCUAACUCCGUGCCAGCAGCCGCGGUAAGACGGAGGGUGCAAGCGUUGUUCGGAAUCACUGGGCGUAAAGCGCGUGUAGGCGGUCUAAUAAGUCGAGUGUGAAAGCCCGAGGCUUAACCUCGGAAGUGCAUUCGAAACUGUUAGGCUUGAGUACGGGAGAGGGAAGUGGAAUUCCUGGUGUAGAGGUGAAAUUCGUAGAUAUCAGGAGGAACACCGGUGGCGAAGGCGGCUUCCUGGACCGAUACUGACGCUGAGACGCGAAAGCGUGGGGAGCAAACAGG
rnacentral:rRNA from 1 species